AAGCAUAUAGAACCUCAUAUGUCAGGGUUGACAUAGUCACAAGUAUUAUCAAAGUUGCAGUGGCAUCCAUUUACACUAUCACAAGUAUUGAUAGAGUUUAAGACUCCCAGAGAAGAGAAGCUAUUCAAG